UGGUUACGAUAGAACUCUUGAAAUCGGAGCUCAAAAAAACUCCCAAGGACUAUAUUCGUGAUUCGAGCGGCGGAAGUAUUUGCCGUGCCAGCUUUUUUUUUCACGACUGUCACUGACGAGAGAUGAAAUUAGAUCAGAAACCAGAAGACUCAUCGCACUUUUUUCGAACGAAAACUUUCCGAAAAUCCCGUUUCUGCGACCACUGCAAAUUGCCCAUCGAUUACCAAGGCAGCUCUUGCAAAGCCUGCAAACUAACGUGUCACAAAGAAUGUGAAUCAAAGGUA